rnacentral:rRNA from 1 species
UACGUAGGGACCAAGCGUUGUUCGGAUUUACUGGGCGUAAAGGGCGCGUAGGCGGCUUGUCAAGUCACUUGUGAAAUCUCUGGGCUUAACCCAGAACGGCCAAGUGAAACUGACAUGCUAGAGUGCAGAAGGGGCAAUCGGAAUUCUUGGUGUAGCGGUGAAAUGCGUAGAUAUCAAGAGGAACACCUGAGGUGAAGACGGAUUGCUGGGCUGACACUGACGCUGAGGCGCGAAAGCCAGGGGAGCAAACGGG